rnacentral:rRNA from 1 species
GGCGAUGAUUCAUUCAAAUUUCUGCCCUAUCAACUUUCGAUGGUAGUGUAGUGGACUACCAUGGUGAUAACGGGUAACGGAGAACCUGGGUUCGGUUCCGGAGAGGGAGCCUGAGAGAUGGCUACCACUUCCAAGGAAGGCAGCAGGCGCGCAAAUUACCCGAUAGCGAUAUGCUGAGGUAGUGACAAUAAAUAACAAUACGGGUCCUGACAAAGGUCUCGUAAUUGGAAUGAGCACAAUUUAAAUCCCUUAACGAGGAACAAUUGGAGGACAAGUCUGGUGCCAGCACCCGCGGUAAUUCCAGCUCCAAUAGCGUAUAUUAAAGUUGUUGCAGUUAAAAAGCUCGUAGUUGGAUUUUGGGGUUUAGUGGGUCCGGUCUGCCGGGAAGGUGUGUACUGGCUCACUUGCCUCUAUUCUCAGGCACUGGUCACUGUUCUUAACUGAGUGGGGACUAGGCUCUGGGACGUUUACUUUGAAAAAAUUAGAGUGUUUAAAGCAGGCAGCUUUGGCCUUGAAUACAUUAGCAUGGGAUAAUAGAAUAGGGCUCAGGCUCUAUUUUGUUGGUUUAAAGGGCCUUUGCAAUGAUUAAUAGAGAUAGUUGGGGGUAUUCAUAUUUAAUUGUCAGAGGUGAAAUUCUUGGAUUUAUGAAAGAUGAACUUCUGCGAAAGCAUUUAUCAAGGAUGUUUUCAUUGAUCAAGAACGAAAGUUAGGGGAUCGAAGACGAUCAGAUACCGUCGUAGUCUUAACCAUAAACUAUGCCGACCAGAGAUUGAGAGACGUUACUUGGAUGACUCCCCCAGCACCUUGAGAGAAAUCAUAAGUCUUUGGGUUCCGGGGGGAGUAUGGUCGCAAGGCUGAAACUUAAAGGAAUUGACGGAAGGGCACACCAGGAGUGGAGCCUGCGGCUUAAUUUGACCCAACACGGGGAAACUUACCAGGUCCAGACACAGUAAGGAUUGACAGAUUGAGAGCUCUUUCUUGAUUCUGUGGGUGGUGGUGCAUGGCCGUUCUUAGUUGGUGGAGUGAUUUGUCUGGUUAAUUCCGUUAACGAACGAGACCUCAACCUAUUAAAUAGUUGCUUAAACCGUCUAACAGGUGAAGCUCGUGGGUGGUGCGGUGGCCUUGGUCGCUGUGCCCUCGCGGGUGGAUCCUUGAUGAGUUUGUGGUGGCUUCUUAGAGGGACUACUAGGGUCUACCUAGUGGAAGUGAGGCAAUAACAGGUCUGUGAUGCCCUUAGAUGUCUUGGGCCGCACGCGCGCUACACUGAUGGGUACAUCGAGUUUUUAACAGGAUUGAUGAGUCUGGUUAAUCUUAAAGUACCUAUCGUGCUGGGGAUAGAUCAUUGCAAUUAUUGAUCUUCAACGAGGAAUUCCUAGUAAGCGCAAGUCAUCAACUUGCGCUGAUUACGUCCCUGCCCUUUGUACACACCGCCCGUCGCUCCUACCGAUUGAAUGGUCCGGUGAAAACUCCGGAUGGUGAUGGUUAGCUUUUGGGGCAACUCGAUUGCGCCGUUGUCAGAAGUUGUUUAAACCUUAUCAUUUAGAGGAAGGAGAAGUCGUAACAAGGUC